AUAAAACAGAAUUAUAUUGAAAAUUAAAGAAGAUCUUGUUGAAGAUGUGGUUAAUAAUUUAUAAGAUUUUGGAUGAAAGCAAUUCAAGACUUUAUUAUUAAACUUUUUUACAACCGAUUAAAUUCGUCCAUGAUGGUUACUAAAGAAUCCAUGGUUUCUUCACCACUUGGAAUGAUUUGAUCAGCCGGAAGGAGGAAUCCGUGUCUUCCAGUGUCUCGUAAUUCAUAAGUAAUAAGGAGGAUGCUACUCUUUCUGAUGAUACCAUUGCUGUUUGGCUUGAUUUUAAGAUAAAUGGGUUGAUUUAAAAUUCAAAUAUGACUUAAUUGUAAAGAAUAAGGAUUAUGCUACUCUUUCUGAUGAUACCAUCGCUGUUUGGCUUGAUUUUGAGACAAAUGGGUUGAUUUAAAACUCAAAUAUCAGUUUAUUGUUAAGAAUAAGGAUUAUGCUACUCUUUCUGAUGAUACCAUCGCUGUUUGGCUUGAUUUUGAGACAAAUGGGUUGAUUUAAACUCAAAUGUGAGUUUAUUGUUAAGUGGCAUCAAGGGGCAAUUUUCACCGCUUAUAAGGAAUGAGAAGAUUCAAGACAACUCAAAAAUGGUGAUCAUAUCUCAAUUUAAAACAUUUAAAGGCAAUUAAAAAUAAAUAAUAGAAGAUAAUAAACAAUAUAAGCUGUCUUAAAUCCACUAAAAGUGAUUGAAUGUGAGAUUCUUAACCCUUCAUCAAUCAUAAAAUUUAUUUUUGCAUACAUAUUUCUUACAAGUUACUUUGUUAUAUUUUUAAAGAAUUGUUAUAAUUAAUAAAGAAACGCAAAAAUAUAAAUUUAAA
rnacentral:lncRNA from 1 species